CGGUGUGCUUAACACAUGCAAGUCGAGCGGUGAACCACCUUCGGGUGGGGAUCAGCGGCGAACGGGUGAGUAACACGUGGGCAACCUGCCCCGAGCACUGGGAUAACAGCGGGAAACUGCUGCUAAUACCGGAUACGACGACCGACCGCAUGGUCUGGUCGUGGAAAGGAUUCCGGCUCGGGAUGGGCCCGCGGCCUAUCAGCUAGUUGGUGGGGUAAUGGCCUACCAAGGCGACGACGGGUAGCCGGCCUGAGAGGGCGACCGGCCACACUGGGACUGAGACACGGCCCAGACUCCUACGGGAGGCAGCAGUGGGAAUAUUGCGCAAUGGGCGAAAGCCUGACGCAGCAACACCGCGUGAGGGACGACGGCCUUCGGGUCGUAAACCUCUUUCAGCUCCGACGAAGCGAGAGUGACGGUAGGAGCAGAAGAAGCACCGGCUAACUACGUGCCAGCAGCCGCGGUAAUACGUAGGGUGCAAGCGUUGUCCGGAAUUAUUGGGCGUAAAGAGCUCGUAGGCGGUCCGUUGCGUCUGCCGUGAAAACCCGGGGCUCAACCCCGGGCCUGCGGAGGAUACGGGCGGACUAGAGUCCGGUAGGGGAGACUGGAUUCCUGGUGUAGCGGUGGAAUGCGCAGAUAUCAGGAGGAACACCGGUGGCGAAGGCGGGUCUCUGGGCCGGAACUGACGCUGAGGAGCGAAAGCGUGGGGAGCGAACAGGAUUAGAUACCCUGGUAGUCCACGCCGUAAACGGUGGGCGCUAGGUGUGGGGAUCGUUUCCACGAUCUCCGUGCCGCAGCUAACGCAUUAAGCGCCCCGCCUGGGGAGUACGGCCGCAAGGCUAAAACUCAAAGGAAUUGACGGGGGCCCGCACAAGCGGCGGAGCAUGCGGAUUAAUUCGAUGCAACGCGAAGAACCUUACCUGGGUUUGACAUAUACGGAAAACUGGCAGAGAUGUCAGGUCCGCAAGGGCCGUAUACAGGUGGUGCAUGGCUGUCGUCAGCUCGUGUCGUGAGAUGUUGGGUUAAGUCCCGCAACGAGCGCAACCCUCGUCCUAUGUUGCCAGCGGAUAAUGCCGGGGACUCAUAGGAGACUGCCGGGGUCAACUCGGAGGAAGGUGGGGAUGACGUCAAGUCAUCAUGCCCCUUAUGUCCAGGGCUACACGCAUGCUACAAUGGCCGGUACAAAGGGCUGCGAUACCGCAAGGUGGAGCGAAUCCCAAAAAGCCGGUCUCAGUUCGGAUUGGGGUCUGCAACUCGACCCCAUGAAGUCGGAGUCGCUAGUAAUCGUAGAUCAGCAACGCUGCGGUGAAUACGUUCCCGGGCCUUGUACACACCGCCCGUCACGUCACGAAAGUUGGGAACACCCGAAGCCCGUGGCUCAACCCCUCGGGGAGAGAGCGGUCGAAGGUGGGCCUAGCGAUUGGGACGAAGUCGAAACAAGGUA
rnacentral:rRNA from 1 species